rnacentral:lncRNA from 1 species
GUUCUGAGACAUAUUGACAGUUUGACUGGAAGGUUCUGAGACAUAUUGACAGUUGAAGGUUCUGAGACAUAUUGACAGUUUGACUGGAAGGUUCUGAGACAUAUUGACAGUUGAAGGUUCUGAGACAUAUUGACAGUUUACCAAACCUGCUUUAUAAUUUGACAACGACAAUCCAUUGUUACCCAGCCCUCCAUUUGUCUCCAGUCUCUCACACAGGGCUGGAAGGCCCGUUGGCCCCAGUUUUCAAUCCACAGACUGUAUGGAUAUUUCAGCAAACAGCUUUCAAUUCAGCGAUUGUCAAUCCCCUUGUUCUGAUUGGGGCAGUAAAGAACACCAUGUUGAUUCACCAUGUUGAUUCCAACAGUCCAGUAUUUUCYCUCCCUCCAACCCGGCUGGUCGUUAGAUUGGGGCAGUAAAGGACACCAUGUUGACUCCAACAGUCCAGUAUUUUCCCUCCCUCCAACCCGGCUGGUCGUUAGAUUGGGACAGUAAAGAACGCCAUGUUGACUCCAACAGUCCAGUAUUUUCCCUCCCUCCAACCCCAGCAUCAGUCAG